rnacentral:rRNA from 1 species
GAUGAACGCUGGCGGCGUGCCUAAUACAUGCAAGUCGAGCGAACAGACGAGGAGCUUGCUCCUCUGACGUUAGCGGCGGACGGGUGAGUAACACGUGGCUAACCUACCUAUAAGACUGGGAUAACUUCGGGAACCCGGAGCUAAUACCGGAUAAUAUAUUGAACCGCAUGGUUCUAUAGUGAAAGACGGUUUUGCUGUCACUUAUAGAUGGAUCCGCGCCGCAUUAGCUAGUUGGUAAGGUAACGGCUUACCAAGGCAACGAUGCGUAGCCGACCUGAGAGGGUGAUCGGCCACACUGGAACUGAGACACGGUCCAGACUCCUACGGGAGGCAGCAGUAGGGAAUCUUCCGCAAUGGGCGAAAGCCUGACGGAGCAACGCCGCGUGAGUGAUGAAGGUCUUCGGAUCGUAAAACUCUGUUAUUAGGGAAGAACAAAUGUGUAAGUAACUAUGCACGUCUUGACGGUACCUAAUCAGAAAGCCACGGCUAACUACGUG